CCUACGGGAGGCAGCAGUGAGGAAUAUUGGUCAAUGGUCGCGAGACUGAACCAGCCAAGUCGCGUGAGGGAUGACGGCUCUAUGGAUUGUAAACCGCUUUUAUAAGGGAAUAAAGUGUGGGACGUGUCCUAUUUUGUAUGUACCUUAUGAAUAAGGAUCGGCUAACUCCGUGCCAGCAGCCGCGGUAAUACGGAGGAUCCGAGCGUUAUCCGGAUUUAUUGGGUUUAAAGGGUGCGUAGGCGGCCUGUUAAGUCAGCCGUGAAAUGCCGUGGCUCAACCAUGGAAUUGCCGUUGAAACUGGGUGGCUUGAGUGUGUUUGAGGCAGGCGGAAUGCGUGGUGUAGCGGUGAAAUGCUUAGAUAUCACGCAGAACCCCGAUUGCGAAGGCAGCCU
rnacentral:rRNA from 1 species